GAUGAACGCUGGCGGCGUGCCUAAUACAUGCAAGUCGAGCGAACGGACGAGAAGCUUGCUUCUCUGAUGUUAGCGGCGGACGGGUGAGUAACACGUGGAUAACCUACCUAUAAGACUGGGAUAACUUCGGGAAACCGGAGCUAAUACCGGAUAAUAUUUUGAACCGCAUGGUUCAAAAGUGAAAUACGGUCUUGCUGUCACUUAUAGAUGGAUCCGCGCUGCAUUAGCUAGUUGGUAAGGUAACGGCUUACCAAGGCAACGAUGCAUAGCCGACCUGGGAGGGGGAGCGGCCCCCAGGGAACGGAGACCCGCACCAGACCCCAACGAGGGGCAGGAGUAGGAAGUGUGCCACAAGGGGGGAACGCCGGACGAGGCACCGACGCGUGAGUGAGGAAGGUCUUGGGCUGGAAAAACUCUUUUUUUUGGGAAAAAAAUUUGGGUAGGGACGUGGCCAGAUUUGGGGGGACCCGAAAAAAAACGCCGGGUAAAUACGCG
rnacentral:rRNA from 1 species